GGGAGUGCGGGGAUCUCGCGAUGUUGUGUCUUUUGCCCUCAGCCGUCUCAGCGGACCUGAUGGAUGUGAUGAAGCCGGCAGGCUGACCAUAAAUAAAGUUUCUCCCUGAGCCUCUGUGAAUAUAUCGAGGUCUACGCAAUAGUCCUAGCUGCUUAAUGGUGGAAAUACAGGGUGGGAUGGAGCAAUUGUUGUACUUCAGCCGCUGUGGGGCGAAGUACGUCAACAUCGAACCAGCCAGAGUGAUGUUAGCCUGUUAGCAGCUAGAUCCAGUGUGACACCUGUGGAAGGUGGUGCCACGAGGGUUGUGUUGGGAGACCUGACAGAGAUCAUAUGUACAGCUGUCCUGCAUGCCCCCAGGCUCAAAUGAGUCGAUGCCGUCCAAAACCGUCCAAA